CCUACGGGGUGCAGCAGUGGGGAAUAUUGGGCAAUGGACGCAAGUCUGACCCAGCAACGCCGCGUGAAGGAAGAAGGCUUUCGGGUUGUAAACUUCUUUUAAUGGGGAAGAGCAGAAGACGGUACCCCUUGAAUAAGCCACGGCUAACUACGUGCCAGCAGCCGCGGUAAUACGUCGGUGGCAAGCGUUGUCCGGAUGUACUGGGUGUAAAGGGCGUGCAGCCGGGCCGACAAGUCAGAUGUGAAAUCCGCGGGCUUAACCCGCGAACUGCAUUUGAACUUAUUGGUCUUGAGUACGGGAGAGGGCAUCGGAAUUCCGUGUGUAGCGGUGAAAGGCGGAGAGAUAAGGAAGAACACCAGUGGCGAAGGCGGAUGACUGGAAGGCAACUGACGGUGAGGCGCGAAAGCGUGGGGAGCAAACAGGAUUAGAUACCCCUGUAGUC
rnacentral:rRNA from 1 species